rnacentral:rRNA from 1 species
UACGUAGGGUGCAAGCGUUGUCCGGAAUUAUUGGGUGUAAAGAGCUCGUAGGCGGUUUGUCGCGUCGAAUGUGAAAACCCGGGGCUCAACCCCGGGCCUGCAUUCGAUACGGGCAGACUAGAGUUCGGUAGGGGAGUCUGGAAUUCCUGGUGUAGCGGUGAAAUGCGCAGAUAUCAGGAGGAACACCGGUGGCGAAGGCGGGACUCUGGGCCGAUACUGACGCUGAGGAGCGAAAGCGUGGGGAGCGAACAGG